rnacentral:rRNA from 1 species
AGCGAACGCUGGCGGCAGGCCUAACACAUGCAAGUCGAACGCAUCCUUCGGGGUGAGUGGCAGACGGGUGAGUAACACGUGGGAACGUACCCUUCGAUCUGGGAUAACUUCGGGACACUGGAGCUAAUACCGGAUACGCCCUAUUGGGGAAAGGUUUACUGUGGCAGGAUCGUCCCGCGUCUGAUUAGCUAGUUGGUGGGGUAACGGCCUACCAAGGCGAGGAUCAGUAGAUGGUCUGAGAGAAUGAUCAGCCACACUGGGACUGAGACACGGCCCAGACUCCUACGGGAGGCAGCAGUGGGUAAUAUAGGACAAUGGGCGCAGGCAUGAUCCAGCCAGGCCGCGUGAGUGAUGAAGGCAUUAGGGUUGUAAAGCGCUUGUGUCCGGGACGAUAAUGACGGUACCGGAAGAAUAAGCCCCGGCUAACUUCGUG